GCAAUUAUACAGCGAAACUGCGAAUGGCUCAUUAAAUCAGUUAUCGUUUAUUUGAUAGUACCUUACUACAUGGAUAACCGUGGUAAUUCUAGAGCUAAUACAUGCUAAAAACCCCGACUUCGGAAGGGGUGUAUUUAUUAGAUUAAAAACCAAUGCCCUUCGGGGCUCACUGGUGAUUCAUAAUAACUUCUCGAAUCGCACGGCCUUGCGCCGGCGAUGGUUCAUUCAAAUUUCUGCCCUAUCAACUUUCGACGGCUGGGUCUUGGCCAGCCGUGGUGACAACGGGUAACGGAGGGUUAGGGCUCGACCCCGGAGAAAACGCCUGAGAAACGGCGUUUACAUCCAAGGAAGGCAGCAGGCGCGCAAAUUACCCAAUGCCGACACGGCGAGGUAGUGACGAGAAAUACUGAUACAGGGCCCUUUUGGGUCUUGUAAUUGGAAUGAGUACAAUUUAAAUCUCUUAACGAGGAACAAUUGGAGGGCAAGUCUGGUGCCAGCAGCCGCGGUAAUUCCAGCUCCAAUAGCGUAUAUUAAAGUUGUUGCAGUUAAAAAGCUCGUAGUUGAACCUUGGGCCUGGCUGGCCGGUCCGCCUCACCGCGUGCACUGGUCCGGCCGGGCCUUUCCCUCUGGGGAACCGCAUGUCCUUCACUGGGCGUGUCGGGGAACCAGGACUUUUACUUUGAAAAAAUUAGAGUGUUCAAAGCAGGCCUAUGCUCGAAUACAUUAGCAUGGAAUAAUAGAAUAGACGUGUGGUUCUAUUUUGUUGGUUUCUAGGACCGCCGGUAAUGAUUAAUAGGGACAGUCGGGGGGCAUCAGUAUUCAUUUGUCAGAGUGAAAUUCUUGGUAUUAAUUGAAGACUAAACUACUGCGAAAGCAUUUGCCAAAGGAUG
rnacentral:rRNA from 1 species